UACGUAGGUCCCAAGCGUUGUCCGGAUUCACUGGGUAUAAAGGGUGCGCAGGCGGUCUUGUGCGUCAGAGGUGAAAUAUCCGGGCUUAACCCGGAGGGUGCCUUUGAUACGGCAGGACUUGAGUACGAGAGAGGAUGAUGGAAUUCCUGGUGUAGCGGUGAAAUGCGUAGAUAUCAGGAGGAACACCGGUGGCGAAGGCGGUCAUCUGGCUCGUAACUGACGCUCAGGCACGAAAGCGCGGGGAUCAAAC
rnacentral:rRNA from 1 species